GACAGAAGGGUGAGGCAUGGGAGGUGCGGGCGGACAGGAAGAUGAGCCUCGCCACCGCAUUCAUUAUGGACUGUAACGGCGCUAGUUGGGAGCACGUAAGACCACUGAGAAGCGGAUUACAGUAGUCAAGGCGAGAGAGGACAGUGGAAUGGACCAACACCUUAGUCGCAUCUGGCGUUAAGUAGGGGCAGAUGUGCGCAAUGUUUUUGAGAUGGAAAUGACAGGAUUUGGCGAUAGAUUGAACAUGAGGCUUGAAGGAGAGGUCGGAGUCAAAGAGAACAAUUGGAACAGUGUUGUAAAUGUUACUUUUCAACUUGUACCAUUAGUAUGAGGUAGCACACAAAUGAAAUACUAGACUCGUAAGAGACAAAAAUAACGGGUGCAAUUCAGUAAAGAAUAGUUCCCUCUUGUGGUCACAAUAUAGAAGUCACCAAUAAUAUAAUAUUGCAGCACUCCAUG